GAAACACUGGAAACGAUCACCGAAGUUAAGCAACGUCGAGCCUGGUCAGUACCUAGAUGGGUGACCGCUUGGGAAUACCUGGUGCUGUAAG
rnacentral:rRNA from 1 species